AGACCACAGCUAGGCUGGAAUGCUGUGUUUGGGGUGGUCAUUAGAGUCGUGGUCUCUUUAGCGUUAUGAAGCCUACCUUGACUCCUAGGUGUUCAUUGUGAAUCUUGGUAAGAGGAGACAUAGUUAAAUUUUGUAGUUUGAGUCCAAAAAGUAAAAGUUGACAUUUUAACAUGGCGGUGUGGAGUGGGUCUGGAGGAAGCUUGCUGGUCAGGGAUGGAGUGGUGCCCACACGUGUUUCUAAACAUUGGAAAACUCACACGGAAUU
rnacentral:lncRNA from 1 species